AAAGUAAAAAGUAUUAUUUUUUAAAUCACUGCAAGUUAAACUGAUAUUUGUCCUACAGUAAGUACAGUUUGAGUCAAGCCAGCCAAAUGAGAUGUUUGGUGAACAAUUGUCCAAUUCCUCUGGAUCAAAGCUGAACAUACAGACUGUAUGUCUCCAAAUCCUCCUGAAGUUUCUGUCAUGGAGUGGUUGGUUGAGGAACAACAGAGAACAGCACGGGGAAACAGGCAUCUACGGGAACAGACGACAAAGAUUGACAAGGAUCCGACGAAGAACACAGACAACAGGUGUUUUCCCGGAUCGAUUACACCAAGGAACACCAUGUGGCACCGUUCCUAACUCAGCUUAAUUGUAGAUUUUUCUCCUUUCAGAAAUAACAGAUGUCUCCAAGGUAACAGCCGGAGGGGGAGAGGGAAGGAGGGACGG